rnacentral:rRNA from 1 species
UACGUAGGGUGCAAGCGUUGUCCGGAAUUAUUGGGCGUAAAGAGCUCGUAGGCGGCUUGUCGCGUCGACUGUGAAAUCCCGCGGCUCAACUGCGGGUCUGCAGUCGAUACGGGCAGGCUAGAGUUCGGUAGGGGGAGACUGGAAUUCCUGGUGUAGCGGUGAAAUGCGCAGAUAUCAGGAGGAACACCGGUGGCGAAGGCGGAUCUCUGGGCCUUACCUGACGCUCAGGCGCGAAAGCUAGGGGAGCGAACAGG